GGGAGCGCGCAUGCGCAGCGCUGCUGGCCCGCUCUCUGAGGAGCUUUCAAUACUUUGGGGUCAAGUUUGAGGCAGUUGUAACUGUACUGAGUUUAGUUUUGCUAAUAAUGGUAUUCUACGUGUGUCAGCCUCGUGUGGACUUCUGUAAUGACUAAUGGAUAUGUUUAUAUCCUGAGCAUUUGCUGUAGGAAUUUUAAAUGCAUUCCCAAAACUCAAGAUUACCUUAUUUGGAGAAAUAUUAGUGUUACUAUGUUUAAAAUUUAAUAGAUAGAACCAUAUUUUACCUUUCACUUUGGGACUCGCACAGGAUGUUUGCAGCUCUUGAUAUACAGGAACUAGAACGUGUCUUUUAAGAGCAUGCGGUUUUAUAAUUACGUGGAAGUAUGCUACGCAAGGGAAAAAAGCCUCUUGCUAGUGUUAAGGGUCUUUAUAAACAGAAACCGCAAGGAACCUGGGAUCUGACAGCUGUUGGAGGAAUGCCUGUGAGGAAGGAGGAGGAACAGAAGAAUGCUUCGAUGUCUUAAAUGGUACAUCCAAACUUAAGUGAAAUAGAGCUGUGAGGACAUUUUGGGGAGAAGUGACCUAGAUAAGCACUGACUGUUGCAUUCAUCUCUCUUCUUGCUGAUUGUGAUGAUUUCCUGUGCCAUAGCCAUUCAAAGUCUGCCAAAAAAGUACACCAAUAUCUUCUGGGGGAAAAUGGAGCAAUCACAUUAAAACAUACUCCUCAAAGAAGUCCAUAACACCUGAACAAAGGAGUUCUUCAGGAAACCCUGUCCUGAGGCAAGAGUAAACAGCACCUGUCAUACAGUAUAUAGUUUAAAAGAAAAAGUCAUCUAAAAGAAUCAGGAUGGUUGAGGGGGUGUGAAACUCAGAAGAAAGGAGAUGAAAGUCUAAGAUGCUGUGUUUUCUCACCAGCGUGGAUAGUGAAAUGCACAGAACACCAUUGUUUACAGUAUCUCUGGGCUGUGAAGCCGCCGUGAUUGCAGCUGGCUGGGGCAGACUGAAAGGGUAGCAUCACCAAAACCCAACUCAUUUUCGAAAAACACAAAUCCUUUUCACUGCCUGUGGACAAAAUUACUGACUGACAUGCUAAACCUAUUAAAUAUGUAUUUUGCAAAUUUUGAAAUGAGGAAAAAUGCUACAUAAAAAUUUUUACAGAUGCUGAAUGAUUGUAAAUGUGGUUAGAGAUGUGGGACUUGCUCCAACUUUGUUCUUUCGUGGAUUGCUAUUAGCUUACAUUUGAAAUCUCUGUUGGCCACGUAUUUCACAUUGUUCUUCCAAAUGUAAUCAUUUCUCUCUUUUAUCUGAUCUCCUACAGUCUCUCUGUUUUCAUCAAUAUCUGACAGCAAUUCCCAAAGAUCCAAUAUAGUCCACUCUAAUAUCCUUAUGUGUACUCUCUUCCCUCUUUGAAAUCUAAUACCUCAGCAGUGAAAUAAUUUAUUGUGCUUUAUUUAGACUUUUAUUUUUUGCAUGUGCUUUGAUAUUAUCCUUUUGAAAGAAGUUAUUUGGAAAUUUAAACCAACUGUUCACCAAAAGUUAUGAAAGCAUGAUUAAGAAUUUUUCUCUCUUUUUAAAUCCCCUUUAAACCUUCAUUUUUUGUGUGUGCUAUGGCAAAUGCCACAAAGUCCAUGGGUCUGGCAAUGAUGGGAAAAUGAAGAUGAAUACUUUUUAGAGCCCCAGCUAAUGGGUAAAGCCAUACAGAAGAUCCAAUGAGCCAGAAAAAUCAGUGACAUUUUAUUUUUCUCAGUAACCCUUAGUUUAUGUGGUUGUCAGAACCUGGAGAUGUUUAAUUCAUUGAAUAUGACCUUCUGGUGAAAUGACUAUGCCACCAUUGUACUUGCUAAUAAAUAAAUGAGAGCUACUUGGUUCCAAAUUGCAUAUACUAUAUUUCUGUUUAUCUUGAGGCUUGAAGACAUGCAUCUUAUAAGCACUAUCUCAGAAUAAGUUUUUGUGGGUACAGUACAGUAAUAUGUGCACUGUUAAAUUAAAGGGAAAGCUUGUUCCAGUGAAAUGGUUGGCAGAAGAUUAUAAAACUUGAUGGAUAGAAAAAUAUGCCUUUCAGUGAAAAAGAAAAAGCAGAUACAGAAAGCAAGCAAUCAGGCCUCUGAGCAGCAUCUAGCAAUAUUCAUCCCUUUCCAGUGUUUAAGAUCAGUCCACUCUCAUAUCGCCAUUUUCUUCUUUGCUCUUCCCUUUUACUCAAGAAAAUUGUCCCUUGGUUGUGCCAAAAAUUUGAAGCAAGAAUGAAAAAUAUUUUGCUUUAUUGCUAACCUGUGAAAAUGUGUUUUUUUUGCCAGUGUUGUGGUGGUUGGGAUUUUUUUUUUCUUUCUUUCUUACAUAGCUCUAUUCCUGGCAGGAUAGAUCUUGACGUACAAAUAAAAUUCCAUCAUAAAUAAGUAAACUAUGGUUAGAAUAAAUAAGUAAAAUUGA